UACAGAGGUCCCAAGCGUUGUUCGGAUUCACUGGGCGUAAAGGGUGCGUAGGUGGCAAGGUAAGUUUGAUGUGAAAAUCUUCGAGCUCAACUCGGAAACUGCAUUGAAUACUAUCUUGCUUGAGGAUUGGAGGGGAGGCUGGAAUUCUCGGUGUAGCAGUGAAAUGCGUAGAUAUCGAGAGGAACACCAGUGGCGAAGGCGAGUCUCUAGACAACUCCUGACACUGAGGCACGAAAGCUAGGGGAGCAAACAGG
rnacentral:rRNA from 1 species